rnacentral:rRNA from 1 species
AUUCCAGCUCCAAUAGCGUAUAUUAAAGUUGUUGCAGUUAAAAAGCUCGUAGUUGGAUUUCUGGUGCAUUCCACUGGCCUAUUGGAUAACUCCAACUUGGCUCAUUUGGAAUACGCCAUCUUUAGGCAGACCCGUCGUGGCAUUAGGUUGUCGUGAUGGUUACGCCUAUCGUUUACUGUGAAGAAAUUAGGGUGUUCAAAGCAGGCUUAUGCCAUGAAUACGUUAGCAUGGAAUAAUGAGAUAGGAUUUCGGUACUAUUUUGUUGGUUUGUGUACGGAAAUAAUGAUUAACAGGAACAGUGUUGUGGGUAUUCGUAUUUCGUUGUCAGAGGUGAAAUUCUUGGAUUUACGAAAGACGAACGACUGCGAAAGCAUUUACCAAGGAUGUUUUCAUCA